UACGGAAGGCAGCAGUGGGGAAUAUUGCACAAUGGGCGAAAGCCUGAUGCAGCUAUGCCGCGUGUAUGAAGAAGGCCUUAGGGUUGUAAAGUACUUUCAUCGGGGAGGAAAACAAAACUAAUAAUUUUAUUUCUUGACGUUACCCGAAAAAGAAGCACCGGCUAACUCCGUGCCAGCAGCCGCGGUAAUACGGAGGGUGCUAGCGUUAAUCAGAAUUACUGGGCGUAAAGAGCACGUAGGUGGUUUUUUAAGUCAGAUGUGAAAUCCCUGGGCUUAACCUAGGAACUGCAUUUUGAAACUGAAAUACUAGAGUAUCGUAGAGGGAGGUAGAAUUCUAGGUGUAGCGGUGAAAUGCGUAGAUAUCUGGAGGAAUACCUGUGGCGAAAGCGGCCUCCUAAACGAAUACUGACACUGAGGUGCGAAAGCGUGGGGAGCAAAACAGGGAUUAGAUACC
rnacentral:rRNA from 1 species